CCUACGGGCGGCUGCAGUGAGGAAUAUUGGUCAAUGGGCGAGAGCCUGAACCAGCCAAGUCGCGUGAAGGAUGAAGGUUCUAUGGAUUGUAAACUUCUUUUGUAAGGGAAUAAAAAGAGCUACGUGUAGUUUAUUGUAUGUACUUUACGAAUAAGGAUCGGCUAACUCCGUGCCAGCAGCCGCGGUAAUACGGAGGAUCCAAGCGUUAUCCGGAUUUAUUGGGUUUAAAGGGUGCGUAGGCGGAUCUUUAAGUCAGUGGUGAAAGUUUGCGGCUC
rnacentral:rRNA from 1 species